UACGUAGGGUGCAAGCGUUAAUCGGAAUUACUGGGCGUAAAGCGUGCGCAGGCGGCUUUGCAAGACAGAUGUGAAAUCCCCGGGCUCAACCUGGGAACUGCAUUUGUGACUGCAUGGCUAGAGUGCGGCAGAGGGGGAUGGAAUUCCGCGUGUAGCAGUGAAAUGCGUAGAUAUGCGGAGGAACACCGAUGGCGAAGGCAAUCCCCUGGGCCUGCACUGACGCUCAUGCACGAAAGCCGUGGGGAGCA
rnacentral:rRNA from 1 species